AUGGUUGAAAAAAAAAUCACUAAUUUAUACUCUAAAUCAGUCCUCCCAAGACCACCUCUAUCAGCAGUAUUGAUGAAGAAUGGUGAAGAAAAAGAAUUAUUAAACAGUAGUAACUGUUUAGUUAUAAACAACAAAGAAGUUAGCACAAAGUUGGCAAGAAAGAAGAAUAAUGUCCUCAGGAAUUGUGGUCACACUGAUGAAAAAGAGGAGAAUUUUUGGCUGUUCAAAUUGCACUAUAAGGUUUAUAUUCCUAAAUGACAUCUGACCACGUUGCAAGGUAUCUGAAUUCAGGAGUUAACUGGUUGACAAACCCUAUCUGUGUCAAUGGAGACCCUGCAGAGGACGAUAACCAAGGAGUAAGGAAGCAGAGACUGGAGAUAUUCUGAUGAGAAUUAUGAGAAAGUAUUACUACCACUACUACUACUACUGCUGCUACUACUGCUACUACUACUACUAAAAAUCCGUGUAGGAAAAGGUGCCAAGUAAUUAACAAUGAUGCUUCAAGAUAGCCAAAGAGAACAAAAUACAAAGAAGAGGAGAAAAACCAACAGACAGCAAACAUAAGAGCUAGGACAGUAUACCAUCUUAAGUCAGACCUCAGAGAAGCUUAAGAAACGUUCAUACUUAAUCAGAGAGACAAUCCUCACUGGGCAUUCUGUUGUCCUUUCAGUCGUAUGUAGAAUAUUCCACUGGUUAUUUAGUUAAUAUUGUUUCCUUUUUUCUGCUAAUCAAAAUUAAAAUCAGAAUAAACAAGACACACAGGAGAGUGUGGAAUUUCUU
rnacentral:lncRNA from 1 species